rnacentral:lncRNA from 1 species
GUUCCAAAUGGUGAAGUUGAAAUCAUCCCUUCGUAAAUUUUACGGACGCCAUCACCAGUUGGUUGACCGUUAUGGAAUAACCGUUUCACAAAUGAUAUCGGAUAUGUUCCUUACGUCGUAACUACAAUCCCCUUCCCUUUCAUGAAUGUGACCUACCGAAUUAGACUAUUUACCGGAUUUGAUAUCACAUAAGCAACACGACGGGUGCCACAUGUGGAGCAGGAUCUGCUUACCCUUCCGGAGCACCUGAGAUCACCC